rnacentral:lncRNA from 1 species
UUAACCCCCAUCUUCUGACCCCCAUACCAAAGCCUUCCUGAAGGGCUCACAGAGCCCAAGAGAGGUACGUUGUUGCCACUCUUCCUCUUUUUAAGAGACAGAAUCUUGCUCUGUUGUCCAGGCUGGAAUGCAGUGGUGCAGUCUGAGCUCACUGCAGCCUCAAACUCCUGGGCCCAAGUGAUCCUGCCACCUAAGCCUCCCAAGUAGCUAGGACUACAGGCACAAGCCACCAUGCCCAGCUAAUUUUUAAAAUUUUUUAUAGAGACGUGAUCUUGCUGUGUUGCUCAGGCUGAUCUCAAACUCCUGGCAUCAAGUGAUCCUCCUGCUUUGGCCUCCCAAAGUGCUAGGAUUAUAGUUACAAGCCUCUGUACCUAGCGAGAGAUACUUUUCUGAUGGGUCUGCCAGGAAGCAAGGGUGGAGAAGGGAAGCAUUGCCUCAAACAACAAUAUAGAGCAGAGGUGUUCAAUCUUUUGGUUUCCCUGGGCCACAUUGGAAGAAGAAUUGUCUUAGGCUACACAUAAAACACUAACAAUGGCUGAUGAGCUUAAAAAAAUUACAAAAAAACUCAUUUUAAGAAAGUUUACAAAUUUGUGUUCGGCCGCAUUCAAAGCCAUUCUAGGCCACAUGCAGCCCAUGGGCCAUGGGUUGGACAAGCUUGAUAGAGAAGCAGAGUCUCAGAAAAUGAGUCAUGACUGAGGUAGAAGAUCAAGGAAUUAAAUUCUAGUGCUCACCCUAAGGAAAAAUGAAUACUUAUCAACUGGAGAAACUUUUUUUUAAGGCUUCAUUCUAAAGAGCAUGGAAAAUAAAACCUCACUCUCCCCUGUCCCAAAAUAAGUAUUUGUGGUAGAUAAUGUAUACUAUUUUAGGGACUUUACAAACUUUAUAAACUACAAGGCUGAGAGCUAAGAAGCCCAAUUGGCUCUGCAACUCUUUUACUUAACAUAAUUAUAAUGAACGUUGAGUCAAAGGCAAUUUAGUACAGUGUGUACUGCACUUGGUAUAUUUCUAAACAUGGGAAUUAAGGCCAAGGAGGGAAGGCCAUUACUUGGCCCGAAUAUUGAAAACUUUCUUUGUAAUUGCACUCUGCUGUAGGUCAUCAUUUUUUAGUUUAAAAACUGUUUCAACCAUAUUUUCAUGCUUCAGUAGGACUAUGAUAAAUAUCAUUGUAUGUAUUAACAGUGUCUGUCAACACGAAAAGGAAGAAUGGAUCCAAAACUCUCCAUCUAGCUCUUAAUUCAAUCAAACUGAAAUUGCUCCAUUUAAAAAAUAAAUGUGUUUUCUUUUAGUUCUUACUUAUAGCAGAUAGUGAUGGGAGACAGUAGGCAGUACCAAUAGUACCUGUUUUUUGGUUGCCAGAUCUCCUGUGAUGGGCAGGGCUCACAACCAGAAUGCCAAUCUUCUUGUGGUUCACCAAAAGAAGGAGUGUCAGUGAUGGAGGUGGAAGCCUGUACUCCAUUUCAUAAUAAUCUGUGGUUGAGAGAGAUUAGGAAAUUCCUCAUUCAUUAGAAGCCUCACCUAUUACAACUAAUAACAUUUUGUAAUGAUUCCAUGCCCGUUUGAGAACUAGAAAUCCUGUUUAUGAUUAUUGAUUAUUGCAUAUGAAGAUUAUAACACAAAGAAAUGAUACAUGUUGGAUGUCAUAUUCUAAAUACCCUGAUUUGAUCAUUACACAUUGUAUGCAUAUAUUGAAAUAUCAUAUCUACCCCAUG